UACGUAGGGGGCAAGCGUUGUCCGGAAUCAUUGGGCGUAAAGCGCGUGUAGGCGGCCCGGUAAGUCCGCUGUGAAAGUCGGGGGCUCAACCCUCGAAUGCCGGUGGAUACUGUCGGGCUAGAGUGCGGAAGAGGCGAGUGGAAUUCCUGGUGUAGUGGUGAAAUGCGUAGAUAUCGGGAGGAACACCAGUGGCGAAGGCGACUACCUGGCCUGUUCUUGACGCUGAGGCGCGAAAGCUAGGGAAGCAAACGGG
rnacentral:rRNA from 1 species